rnacentral:ncRNA from 2 species
CUAUAUGUUCGUGAGCACGGCCCGCGGUGCAGGGAAGCCGGUGCGAAACCGGCGCGGUCCCGCCACUGUGACCGGGGAGUGCGCUGCCGAGCAGGACGCCACUGACGCGAACGCGUCGGGAAGGCGGGCGGCGCGCGGUGAUCCGGAAGCCAGGAUACCGGCCGCGGGUGUUGUUCCGUG